rnacentral:rRNA from 1 species
UACGUAGGGCGCAAGCGUUGUCCGGAAUUAUUGGGCGUAAAGAGCUCGUAGGCGGUUUGUCGCGUCUGCUGUGAAAACUCGGGGCUUAACCCCGGGCCUGCAGUGGGUACGGGCAGACUAGAGUUCGGUAGGGGAGACUGGAAUUCCUGGUGUAGCGGUGAAAUGCGCAGAUAUCAGGAGGAACACCAGUGGCGAAGGCGGGUCUCUGGACAGUUCCUGACACUGAGACACGAAGGCCAGGGGAGCAAACGGG